GGCCGCCUGGCGAAAUGGCAUCGCGUCUGACUACGACUCGAGUAAUCAGGAGAUUGCAGGUUCGACCCCUGCGGUGGUCA